GAAAUGCUGUAUGAUGAUACAAUGAGUGAUCCAUCGGCUGACAAAUAAUGCUGAUACAUUUGUUUUCUGACAGCAUUUG
ensembl:snoRNA small nucleolar RNA SNORD71